rnacentral:lncRNA from 1 species
UCAAGAUGCCUCAGAUGGAGCCUUAUGAUAGAACUGUCGAUUUGGUGGACCAUUUUAGAAUUUUUGGACUUUGAUGCUUUUGUAAUGAGCUAGCGAUGCAACUCUCUAUCGAGCUUUUCCUUCAACUUUGAGGAAGGCAACUUGUCAUUGGUACUCUAAUCUGCAAUCGAGUUUUGUGGAUUCAUUCUAUCAAUUAAGUCAGCUCUUCAUCGUAUAUUUCAUUAGUAGCCGACGAC